GCUCAGAUUGAACGCUGGCGGCAUGCCUUACACAUGCAAGUCGAACGGCAGCACGGAGCUUGCUCUGGUGGCGAGUGGCGAACGGGUGAGUAAUAUAUCGGAACGUACCCUGGAGUGGGGGAUAACGUAGCGAAAGUUACGCUAAUACCGCAUACGAUCUAAGGAUGAAAGUGGGGGAUCGCAAGACCUCAUGCUCGUGGAGCGGCCGAUAUCUGAUUAGCUAGUUGGUAGGGUAAAAGCCUACCAAGGCAUCGAUCAGUAGCUGGUCUGAGAGGACGACCAGCCACACUGGAACUGAGACACGGUCCAGACUCCUACGGGAGGCAGCAGUGGGGAAUUUUGGACAAUGGGCGAAAGCCUGAUCCAGCAAUGCCGCGUGAGUGAAGAAGGCCUUCGGGUUGUAAAGCUCUUUUGUCAGGGAAGAAACGGUGAGAGCUAAUAUCUCUUGCUAAUGACGGUACCUGAAGAAUAAGCACCGGCUAACUACGUGCCAGCAGCCGCGGUAAUACGUAGGGUGCAAGCGUUAAUCGGAAUUACUGGGCGUAAAGCGUGCGCAGGCGGUUUUGUAAGUCUGAUGUGAAAUCCCCGGGCUCAACCUGGGAAUUGCAUUGGAGACUGCAAGGCUAGAAUCUGGCAGAGGGGGGUAGAAUUCCACGUGUAGCAGUGAAAUGCGUAGAUAUGUGGAGGAACACCGAUGGCGAAGGCAGCCCCCUGGGUCAAGAUUGACGCUCAUGCACGAAAGCGUGGGGAGCAAACAGGAUUAGAUACCCUGGUAGUCCACGCCCUAAACGAUGUCUACUAGUUGUCGGGUCUUAAUUGACUUGGUAACGCAGCUAACGCGUGAAGUAGACCGCCUGGGGAGUACGGUCGCAAGAUUAAAACUCAAAGGAAUUGACGGGGACCCGCACAAGCGGUGGAUGAUGUGGAUUAAUUCGAUGCAACGCGAAAAACCUUACCUACCCUUGACAUGGCUGGAAUCCUCGAGAGAUUGAGGAGUGCUCGAAAGAGAACCAGUACACAGGUGCUGCAUGGCUGUCGUCAGCUCGUGUCGUGAGAUGUUGGGUUAAGUCCCGCAACGAGCGCAACCCUUGUCAUUAGUUGCUACGAAAGGGCACUCUAAUGAGACUGCCGGUGACAAACCGGAGGAAGGUGGGGAUGACGUCAAGUCCUCAUGGCCCUUAUGGGUAGGGCUUCACACGUCAUACAAUGGUACAUACAGAGCGCCGCCCACCCGCGAGGGGGAGCUAAUCGCAGAAAGUGUAUCGUAGUCCGGAUUGUAGUCUGCAA
rnacentral:rRNA from 1 species